rnacentral:rRNA from 1 species
UACGUAGGGUGCGAGCGUUGUCCGGAAUUACUGGGCGUAAAGAGCUCGUAGGUGGUUUGUCGCGUUGUCCGUGAAAUUCCCUGGCUUAACUGGGGGCGUGCGGGCGAUACGGGCAGACUGGAGUACUGCAGGGGAGACUGGAAUUCCUGGUGUAGUGCGGUGGAAUGCGCAGAGUAUCAGGAGGAACGACCGGUGGCGGAAGGCGGGUCUCUGGGCAGGUAACCUGA